CCCUUCGGGGGAAAAGGUGACAGGUGGUGCAUGGUAGUCGUCAGCUCGUGUCGUGAGAUGUUGGGUUAAGUCCCGCAACGAGCGCAACCCUUGUUGUUAGUUGCCAUCAUUUAGUUGGGCACUCUAAGGAGACUGCCGGUGACAAACCGGAGGAAGGUGGGGAUGACGUCAAAUCAUCAUGCCCCUUAUGACCUGGGCUACACACGUGCUACAAUGGACGAUACAAAGGGUUGCCAACCCGCGAGAGGGAGCUAAUCUGAUAAAGCCGUUCUCAGUUCGGAUUGUAGGCUGCAACUCGCCUACAUGAAGCCGGAAUCGCUAGUAAUCGCGGAUCAGCAUGCCGCGGUGAAUACGUUCCCGGGCCUUGUACACACCGCCCGUCACACCACGAGAGUUUGUAACACCCAAAGUCGGUGAGGUACCU
rnacentral:rRNA from 1 species